rnacentral:rRNA from 1 species
AGGCCCCGUAAUCGGAAUGAGUACACUUUAAAUCCUUUAACAAGGAUCCAUUGGAGGGCAAGUCUGGUGCCAGCAGCCGCGGUAAUUCCAGCUCCAAUAGCGUAUAUUAAAGUUGUUGCGGUUAAAAAGCUCGUAGUUGGUUCUGCGUGCCGCGCUGUCGGUUCGCCGCCUGUCGGUGUAACUGGCAUGUCGCGGCAUGUCCUGUCGGUGGUGAACGGAGUCCACGACGCUACAUGGGCUUUAUAGUCGAUGUUAGCAUCGUGUGUACUUCCGUUGGCCGAUCUCUCCUACUUCGGUGCUCUUAAACGAGUGUCGAGGUAGGCCGACACGUUCACUUUGAACAAAUUAGAGUGCUUAAAGCAGGCUGAAAUAUCUGCCUGAAUAGUGGUGCAUGGAAUGAUAAAACAGGACCUCGGUUCUAUUUUGUUGGUUUUAGGAAUAUGAGGUAAUGAUCAAUGUGGACUGGCGGGGGCAUUCGUAUUGCGACGUUAGAGGUGAAAUUCUUGGAUCGUCGCAAGACGCACUAGAGCGAAAGCAUUUGCCAAGUAUGUCUUAAUUGAUCAAGAACGAAAGUUAGAGGUUCGAAGGCGAUCAGAUACCGCCCUAGUUCUAACCAUAAACGAUGCCAGCCAGCGAUCCGCCGAUGUUCCUUUAAUGACUCGGCGGGGAGCUUCCACCCGGG